rnacentral:tRNA from 1 species
GCCUUAGUGGUGUAACUGGUAGCACACUCGGCAUGUGUUCGAGAAGUCCAGGUUCGAAUCCCGGCGGGAGUA